AUUGAACGCUGGCGGCAGGCCUAACACAUGCAAGUCGAGCGGAUGAAGGGAGCUUGCUCCUGGAUUCAGCGGCGGACGGGUGAGUAAUGCCUAGGAAUCUGCCUGGUAGUGGGGGAUAACGUCCGGAAACGGGCGCUAAUACCGCAUACGUCCUGAGGGAGAAAGUGGGGGAUCUUCGGACCUCACGCUAUCAGAUGAGCCUAGGUCGGAUUAGCUAGUUGGUGGGGUAAAGGCCUACCAAGGCGACGAUCCGUAACUGGUCUGAGAGGAUGAUCAGUCACACUGGAACUGAGACACGGUCCAGACUCCUACGGGAGGCAGCAGUGGGGAAUAUUGGACAAUGGGAGAAAGCCUGAUCCAGCCAUGCCGCGUGUGUGAAGAAGGUCUUCGGAUUUUAAAGCACUUUAAGUUGGGAGGAAGGGCAGUAAGUUAAUACCUUGCUGUUUUGACGGUACCAACAGAAUAAGCACCGGCUAACUUCGUG
rnacentral:rRNA from 1 species